rnacentral:rRNA from 3 species
GACUUCUGGUUUAAUGCACCUGGCCCGCGGUCUUUUAGACCUGUGAGUGCCGGCGCGCGUUUACCAUCCUUCUAGGAAACAAGUCUUCCCUUAACUGGGCCGGAUUUGGGAUCUAGAUCAUUUACUUUGAAAAAAUUAGAGUGUUUAAAGCAGGCUUAUGCUAUGAAUACAUUAGCAUGGAAUAAUAAUCUAGGACUUCGGUUCUAUUUUGUUGGUUUCUAUAACUGAAGUAAUGAUUGAUAGGGAUAGUUGGGGGUGCUAGUAUUGGCCGGUCAGAGGUGAAAUUCUUGGAUUCGGUCAAGACUAACUUAUGCGAAAGCAUU